UACGUAGGGGGCAAGCGUUGUCCGGAUUUAUUGGGCGUAAAGAGCGUGUAGGCGGCUUUACAGGUCAGCUGUGAAAACUCGAGGCUCAACCUCGAGACGUCGGUUGAAACCGUAUGGCUAGAGUCCGGAAGAGGAGAGUGGAAUUCCCGGUGUAGCGGUGAAAUGCGCAGAUAUCGGGAAGAACACCUAUGGCGAAGGCAGCUCUCUAGUACGGUACUGACGCUGAGACGCGAAAGCGUGGGGAGCGAACAGG
rnacentral:rRNA from 1 species